rnacentral:rRNA from 1 species
CGGGGUGCAGCAGGCGCGAAAAUUUUACAAUGUCGGCAACGGCGAUAAGGGAACCUCGAGUGCCAGGUUAUAAAUCUGGCUGUUGUGAUGCCUAAAAAGCAUUGCAUAGCAAGGGCCGGGCAAGACCGGUGCCAGCCGCCGUGGUAACACCGGCGGCUCGAGUGGUAACCGUUAUUAUUGGGUCUAAAGGGUCUGUAGCCGGCCGGGUAAGUCUCUUGGGAAAUCUGGCAGCUUAACUGUCAGGCUUUCAGGAGAUACUGCCUGGCUCGAGGCCGGGAGAGGUGAGAGGUACUUCAGGGGUAGGGGUGAAAUCUUGUAAUCCUUGAAGGACCACCAGUGGCGAAGGCGUCUCACCAGAACGGACCUGACGGCAAGGGACGAAAGCUAGGGGCACGAACCGGAUUAGAUACCCGGGUAGUCCUAGCCGUAAACGAUACUCGCUAGGUGUCGGCCACGGUGCGACCGUGGUCGGUGCCGUAGGGAAGCCGUGAAGCGAGCCACCUGGGAAGUACGGCCGUAAGGCUGAAACUUAAAGGAAUUGGCGGGGGAGCACAAGGGCGAAUCGC